GGCCUCGUGGCCCAAUGGCAAGGCGUCUGACUACGACAAAGAUAUUCGGAAACGAAUUCCUCUGCGGCGAUCAGGAGAUUCUGGGUUCGACCCCCAGCGAGGUCA
rnacentral:tRNA from 1 species